rnacentral:rRNA from 1 species
GAUUAAGGACUUAAGUGCGCGCAAUGGAUGCCUGGGCGGUUGAGGGCGACGAAGGACGUGCCAAUACACGAAAACCCCGGCGUGCCUAUUGGGGCUGGAACCCGGGGGUGUCCGAAUGGGGGAACCUGGGCUCUAGGUGAGCCCGUCCUGGCCUGAAUACAUAGGGCCAGGACGCGCACGCGGCGAACUGAAACAUCUCAGUAGCCGCAGGAGAAGAAAUCAAUUGAGAUUCCCAUAGUAGCGGCGAGCGAAACGGGAGGAGCCUGCGUAGGCGCCCCCCAUAGCAGCAGCCGAAUGCCAUGGAAAGGGCAACCGCAGACGGUGACAGUCCGGUAGGCUAAGCUGCAUGGGGUAAGACAACCUGCGCUUUAGAGUAGGGCGGGGCACGCUAACCCUGUCUGAAGAUGGGGGGUCCAUCCUCCAAGGCUAAAUACCCACAACCGACCGAUAGUGAACUAGUACCGCGAGGGAAAGGUGAAAAGAGCUCUGGGGGAGCAGUGAAACAGACCUGAAAUUGCGCGCACACGAACAGUCGGAGCCCCAUAGGCUGGGGUGACGGCGUACCUUUUGUAUAAUGGGUCAGCGACUUAUGUUCGGCAGCGAGCUUAACUCAAUGAGGGAGGCGUAGCGAAAGCGAGUCUGCCAAGGGCGCCGUAGUUGCCGUGCAUAGACCCGAAACCAGGUGAUCUACCCAUGAGCAGGAUGAUGGUGCGUUAAGCCGCACCGGAGGUCCGAACCCACUAACGUUGCAAAGUUAGGGGAUGAUUUGUGGGUAGGGGUGAAAGGCCAAUCAAACCUGGAUAUAGCUGGUUCUCUCCGAAAGCUAUUGGGGUAGCGCCUCGUGUUUUUGCUCCUGGAGGUAGAGCACUGUAGUGGCCUUGGGGUCCGAGAGGACUACCUUGCCAUAGCAAACUCCGAAUACCGGGGUAGCAUUAGCACGGGAGACAGACGCAGGGUGCUAACAUCCUGCGUCUAAAGGGAAACAACCCAGACCACCAGCUAAGGUCCCAAAGCAUGGCUAAGUGUGGAACGAUGUGGGCCGGCUCUGACAAUCAGGAGGUUGGCCUAGAAGCAGCCAUCCUUUAAAGAAAGCGUAACAGCUCACUGAUCUAGCCGGCUUGCGCGGAAGAUGUAGCGGGGCUAAGCCAUGCACCGAAGCUGUGGACGCACGGAGUGUGCGUGGUAGGAGAGCGUUCCGUAGGCCUGCGAAGGGAGGCCGGAAGGCCUCUUGGAGGUAUCGGAAGCGCGAAUGCUGACAUGAGUAGCAAAAAAGGGGGUGAGAAUCCUCCUCACCGCAAGCCCAAGGUUUCCCACGCCAUGAUCGUCAGCGUGGGGUCAGUCGGCCCCUAAGGCGAGGCAGAAGUGCGUAGCCGAUGGGUGGGCAGGUUAAAAUUCCUGCACCACGGUGCGCAAGCGAUGGGGGCACAGGCCGCGUGUCGCAGGCUGCCCAGCGAGAAAGCAGUUGCUGUGCUGUGGGGAUGCAUUGGCAAGACCGUGCUGGUAUUAGUGUGAACUCCCCUGGGCAUGGCACUCAAGCUCCGGCGUACGGCCUCAGGAAACACCCCUAAGCACCACAAAGCGCACAGUGUCCGUACCGCAAACCAACACAGGUGGGCGUGAUGAGCAUUCUAAGGUGCAUGGGAGAACUCGGGAGAAGGAACUAGGCAAAUUGAUACCGUAACUUAGGGAGAAGGUAUGCCAGGGCUCGCAGCGCCGUAAGGCACGGCGCUGCUCGCCAGGGCUGCAACGAAAUGGUAGCUGCGACUGUUUAAUAAAAACACAGCACUCUGCAAACACGAAAGUGGAAGUAUAGAGUGUGACGCCUGCCCGGUGCCGGAAGAUUAAUGCAGGGGGUGAGAGCUCCCGAGCAAAGUCCUGGUAAACGGCGGCCGUAACUAUAACGGUCCUAAGGUAGCGAAAUUCCUUGUCGGGUAAGUUCCGACCUGCACGAAUGGCGUAA